AUACGGAGGUUGCGAGCGUUGUUCGGAAUGACUGGGCGUAAAGGGAGCGCAGGCGGUUCGACGCGUCUGAAGUGAAAGCCCGGGGCUCAACCCCGGCGGGUCUUUAGAUACGGUCGAACUGGAGUACGGAAGAGGAGAGCGGAAUUCCAGGUGUAGCGGUGAAAUGCGUAGAUAUCUGGAGGAACACCGGUGGCGAAAGCGGCUCUCUGGUCCGAUACUGACGCUCAGGCUCGAAAGCGUGGGGAGCAAACGGGAUUAGAUACCCCGGUAGUCCACGCCGUAAACGUUGUGCGCUAGGUGUAGGCGGUAUCGACCCCGCCUGUGCCGCAGCUAACGCAUUAAGCGCACCGCCUGGGGAGUACGCCCGCAAGGGUGAA
rnacentral:rRNA from 1 species